GGGGCGUUAGCUCAGUUGGGAGAGCACCUGCUUUGCAAGCAGGGGGUCACCGGUUCGAGCCCGGUACGCUCCA
rnacentral:tRNA from 1 species